AUUGAACGCUGGCGGCAGGCCUAACACAUGCAAGUCGAGCGAGCGGCGGACGGGUGAGUAAUGUCUGGGAACCUGCCUGAUGGAGGGGGAUAACUACUGGAAACGGUAGCUAAUACCGCAUACCAUCAGCUGUGCCCAGAUGGGAUUAGCUAGUAGGUGGGGUAACGGCUCACCUAGGCGACGAUCCCUAGCUGGGCUGAGAGGAUGACCAGACACACUGGAACGGAAACACGGUCCAGACUCCUACGGGAGGCAGCAGGGGGGAAUAGUGCACAAUGGGAGCAAGCCUGAUGCAGCCAUGCCGCGUGUGUGAAGAAGGCCUUCGGGUUGUAAAGCACUUUCAGCGGGGAGGCGGUACCCGCAGAAGAAGCACCGGCUAACUCCGUGCUAGCAGCCGCGGUAAUAC
rnacentral:rRNA from 1 species